GUGCUUUAACAAGGAAAACCACAGCAACACAUCUUCACUCCCUCAGAACUGAGCUCUUCUUUCCCCGGGCUUUACCUCAGCUUGGCAUCUGACCAGAAACACGAGCUGCUUACACCCAUGCCCUCUGGACCAUCGAGUUUUUUGCUUAGGCAACAUGGAGAUUCCCCCAGGGAAGAAAAGGGAGUGCAGUGUUGGAGAUGUAGGCUGGCCAAAGAGGUCUACAAACUGAUGAGCGUGAAGCCCAAAAUCUGCUCUUCUUCCAUCAACUUGGCCUCCAGCACCAGAAUUCAGCACACAGUGAAACACAUUUCAUACUCCUGAGCACCUGCCGAUGCGUCUCCUGCCUCUCUGCUCGGAGAGGAUGGAAGUGCAGGCAAUGGAGCAGAUUUCUGCACUUGUACCUGACUUUUAGAAGAUUGUGUGUCCUUACACGGGUGAAAAAAGUACAGCGGCCAAGGAAAUGCAGGCGGCGUCAGAAAAUUCAGCAGGGUGGGUGGUCACAACGUGGCUCAGACUUGAAAGCAAAACCUUCUGCAGGAAAAUUCCCACUUCUCAGCAUGACACAUUAUUCUGAAACUCAUGUAUAAGGUAACAGGGUAAACACAAUGAGAAAUCUCUUUUGUAUUCCAUUACAGUCAUUAGAGAAAUAGGCCACAAAAGGUAAUGGCAAUAAAACUGAAUACCUUGAAGUAAGCAUCUAAAUUACAUGCUAAUGUAUGCAAAUUAGCACACCAUGUUCAAUGUCCAUAAAACUACAAAAUAUAGCUAAUUAAUAGUAGGUAAGCUGCUUCGUUUCAUAUUCACAGAGUUACAGGGAAGGUAGUGUAUUUUUAUAAUUGUAGAACAUUGGCCUUGGGGAACACAUCAAACAUUCAGUUUCUCUCCUCUGGCAAAUUCGCCCAGCACACUGGAAGUAAUUGCCUUUCCACUUCCUCACCCAGGGUCUUACUCUGAGAGCAGGCUCCGAAAUUAAAAGUAAAACAAAACAAAAAGGCUCCCAGUUUUGCAAUUACUUUCCUGUGGAAGUAGCUCUUAUUAAUGUUAAUAUAAUCUCUGUUCGGCAAGGUACCUAAACGCGCUUGGUACCCUUGGCAUACCUAAAUGGGCUUAACGACUGAAACCCCACACGGAUAUAGGCUUUGUAAAGCCCCAAAACAGCAAACUGUUCCCAGCAGAAUUCAUGGUUCAGGCUCCUGAUACAAUGUGAAAAUAGAGCACCUGAGAACAGGUUCAGCAAAUGCAGCAAACUGAGCAUGGAGCGAAGCAGCUCACCUGGGAAGAAAGGUGGAGGGAGCAUGUGGGUCAAGCCCUGCUUCUGGCAGAGACUGAGAGCACAAGCGAACACAAACUCCUCUGCCCACAUUCUGGAAUCCUGCAUAGGAAAAUUCUCCGGUUUGAAAGCCACAUCUCUCCUGUGCUUGAAAUGAAUACUCCCAUCUUUUAGACUACCCAGCCAACAAAGCAAAGGAGCCCAGGUCAAGGUGGAGCGAUGCCCUGCUCAAGACAUGAGUGAGCUUCUGUGUGCAACCUGAGAGACAGCUGCAAUGGGAGCUGAAUGGAAAAAUGAGCACUUGAGGAUAAUUUUUCAGUACAAUGAGUAGCAGUGGAUGGGAACCCUGUGAAAGAUCUUCUGAGCUCCCUUCUGCUGUAAAGGUGCUCAGUCUGCAAUCUGAAGGAGCUCUCUGGGUGGCUAUCUGUGCCGUGGGGCUGUGGCCAUGCCACCCUCCUCUGCAGGCUCCCGAUGAGAAGCUCUGUUGAGCCCAUGCAAAGGCAGGUCACCUUAGCCUCUUCACAGAGCUUCGGGCAUCAUCUGAGAUGGUGGACAUCUUCUAGAUGCCACACUUGUGCCCCCGUACCAGAGCAACUCCAGGAUGUCCUGCUUCCCCCGCUGCCCUGCUACCGCAGUGGCUGCUCCUCUCUGCAGAGGUGUAGUGCAGCACAGGAACAAACAGGUGGGAAAAAAAACCCACUUGUGUGUCAUGGGUGAAGGGAGGAUGUGUUUUGUUCAGGGUCUUACUCGAUAGGUGCUGAGAUGACUGAUGGUAAUGACUGCAAUAUGUCUUAGGUACCUGAGACAGAGGUUAUAAUUUGCCAAAUACUUUUCAUGAGCCAGUGGUUCUCCUUCUGGAAAGCUGUUCAGUUUCAAACCAAAACAUUUAUUUUAUAUGCAUGCAUGCGUGUAUGUAUAUGUAUAUAUAUAUAUAUGUAUAUAAAAUCUACACCUGUUUGGCAGAGCAGUUGAACUUUGAUCAACUUCAGGUAAAUGCUUACCUUGCACUUCAUGUAAAAAUUAACCCCAGUGCUAAA